CUCCUGGCCCUGCACAGGACAGCCAGUGUGAUAUGCACAAAUUCAAAACAUAGCACCAUAGCAGCUACUGUGAAGACAAUUAACCCAGGCAAAACUCAUUCAGUUCCAGCUUCCCAGGAUAUGACUGCAAGCACUCAGAUGUGACAUUCGGCCCUUCUCUCAUCACCUUUGACUGUGGCAGCUGUUUUUUUGACUGGGAUGUUACUCCUGGGGCUGGGCAGCAGCAUUUCAGUUACAAGAGCAUCCUCUUUCCUGUGGUGGGAGCCCCAGUCAUUUGCAGGUGGCCUGCACAGCAUCUGUGUACCAUUUAUAUCUCUCUUCAGCUUCUGAAGUAAAGUCUGGUUUGAUGGGCCUGCUUGAUCAGCUGGGUGCACAGAGUGAAGGAACAUCAGAAGGUAGGGGAGAGGCAAAGGAAGAGAGAAUCCCUUCUCCAAUGGCAGUGGAUGUUCAGUGGCAAGUUCUAGUAUGUACUUUCCCUUCUGCAGGAACAGCUGGUCGGAAUUAAUUUCUCAGUCCAGUGUUGUUGGUGGGUUUGUGUGGGAGUGAAAUGGAAAAUUCUCAAAAGGACUGAAGCAUUCAAGUAUUACCAGGAGAGAGUUUUAUAAAGACUUCCCUUGAUUUCAAAUGGGAAAACAAGAGGCAGGGAUCAGCAUUUCAGAUCAAACACUGUAGUCUCAUUAUGUGGAUGCUUCACUAGUUGUAUCAGGAAUUAAAUGUGUGUUCUGCCCAUGGCUCAGGCAUAUUGGAAAUGCUAUGAGGUCUGGGUUUGGAGAUCCGUAUGCUGCUUAUACCAGAGGCCUUGGACAAUCUGGUUCAUUCUGUGUUCUUUGUAAAGCUCUAGGACUAGAACAAUGUUCCUGGAAUCCCUUGGAUUGGGAUUUCUCCCUCCACUUUUGUUGCCCUGAUUCACAAUUCAUCCUCAGUGACUCCUUCUACAGCAAACUGAGAGAGAGGUGCAAGUCCAGGGGACACCUCUUUUCUAAGAUUGACAUUUUGAGUUAUGGCAGAUAAGUAGGUUACUAGAGCAUACUGUUUCUCUCUCCAACCAUUCCUGGGUCCUGGAGUCACCAGUUCAGAACUGAGCAUGUAAAGCUUGGUGAGAUAACCCCCAACCUAAUGUCUAAAUCAUCACCUUCUUUUUCUUUUGGUUUCUCAUAUCUGGCCAAGAUUUUAGCUUAAAAACCUCUUUGCUGCCACCAUGCCUAAGGGCUGCAGGUUUUUUUAAUAAGAGGCUGUUAUCACCCAACUGGUCAAGACAUAUUUUUGGGCUCAUUUCUGGGAAGUUUUUGAAUGAUGUUUGGGAUCAACAUGAAGUCACUUCUCCUUGCCAGUCACAGUGCAACUUUGAAACAAUACUGAUUCAAGACAUGCUGAAUGGAGAGUAGAUUUAGAGAUGAAAACCAAAGGUUUCUGAAUUCUCUAGGCUUAGGAGAUUUUUGGGAAUUCAUUUUGGGAGACAGGGUUGCUUCAGGCUCCUACACAAAAGCAUACAAUGAGAGAAGAUUCUUUCCUCAAAGAACUGCUCAAGUAAGUAGGCAAGACUAAAAAGAGGUGGGUAUAGAAGCAAAGAGGAUUCAAUUCAGAUGCCUAUACAUAGGUAGGUAUCUAGGGCCA